CCCUUAGAUGUUCUGGGCUGCACGCGUGCUACACUGAUAUUGCCAAUAUGUCAUUCUUAUCCGAAAUGGAUUGGGUAAUCAAGUAAUGAAAUUUCAUGCUUGGAAUCGGUAAUUGCAAUUUUAUCGUGAACGAGGAAUUCCUAGUAAGCACUAGUCAUCAGCUAAUGUUGAUUACGUCCCUGCCCUUUGUACACACCGCCCGUCGCUCCUACCGAUUGAGCGGUCCGGUGAAGACUCAGGAGAUGGGCGCGUGCUUGGUUCGCCAACUGCGCUGCCUGCCAAAUUUGUCUAAACCUUAUCGCUUAGAGGAAGGAGAAGUCGUAACA
rnacentral:rRNA from 1 species